rnacentral:tRNA from 1 species
GCCGGGGUGGCCUAGUAAAUUGUUGCAUCGUUAUGUGAUGAUCUAGAUGGCUAAGGUGUCAGACUCAUAAUCUGAAGAGCGCGGGUUCGAGUCCCGCCCCCGGCA